rnacentral:rRNA from 1 species
AUGAACACUAGCGACAGGCUUAACACAUGCAAGUCGAGGGGUAACAGGGUAGCAAUACCGCUGACGACCGGCGCACGGGUGAGUAACGCGUAUGCAACCUGCCUAGUAACUGGGGAAUAGCUCCCUGAAAGGGGAAUUAACACCGCAUAACACUAUUGAUUCGCAUGGAUUGGUAGUUAAAUGUAGCGAUACAGGUUAUAGAUGGGCAUGCGUGACAUUAGCUAGUUGGUGAGGUAACGGCCCACCAAGGCUACGAUGUCUAGGGGUUCUGAGAGGAAGGUCCCCCACACUGGUACUGAGACACGGACCAGACUCCUACGGGAGGCAGCAGUGAGGAAUAUUGGUCAAUGGGCGCAAGCCUGAACCAGCCAUGUCGCGUGCAGGAAGACUGCCCUAUGGGUUGUAAACUGCUUUUAUAGUAGAAGAAACACAUCUACGCGUAGAUGUCUGCCAGUAUACUAUGAAUAAGCAUCGGCUAACUCCGUGCCAGCCGCAGC